rnacentral:rRNA from 1 species
CCGAUCGCUCGGAGGAUAGCGUUAUCCGGAUUAUUGGGUUUAAAGGGUGCGUAGGCGGUUAGACUCUUUAGAGGUGAAAUCCCGGGGCUUAACUCCGAAAUUGCCUCUAAUACUGUUUGACUAGAGAGUAGUUGCGGUAGGCGGAAUGUAUGGUGUAGCGGUGAAAUGCUUAGAGAUCAUACAGAACACCGAUUGCGAAGGCAGCUUACCAAACUAUAUCUGACGUUGAGGCACGAAAGCGUGGGGAGCAAACAGGAUUAGAUACCCUGGUAGUCCACGCAGUAAACGAUGAUAACUCGCUGUCGGCGAUACACAGUCGGUGGCUAAGCGAAAGCGAUAAGUUAUCCACCUGGGGAGUACGUUCGCAAGAAUGAAACUCAAAGGAAUUGACGGGGGCCCGCACAAGCGGAGGAACAUGUGGUUUAAUUCGAUGAUACGCGAGGAACCUUACCCGGGCUUGAAAGUUAGCGACGGAUCUGGAAACAGGUCUUCCCUUCGGGGCGCGAAACUAGGUGCUGCAUGGUUGUCGUCAGCUCGUGCCGUGAGGUGUCGGGGUAAGUCCCAUAACGAGCGCAACCCCUACCGUUAGUUGCCAUCAGGUGAAGCUGGGCACUCUGGCGGGACUGCCGGUGUAAGCCGAGAGAAAGGUGGGGAUGACGUCAAAUCAGCACGGCCCUUUACGUCGGGGCUACACACGUGUUUACAUGGUAGGUACAGAGGGUCGCUACCCCGUGAGGGGAUGCCAUUCUCGGAAGGCUAUCUCAGUUCGGCAUCGGAGGCUGAAACCCGCCUCCAUGAAGUUGGAAUCGCUAGGAAUCGCGCAUCACCCAUGGCGCGGGGGAUUACCUUCCCGGCCCUUGAACACACCGCCCCGUAAAGCAUGGGAGCUGGGGGUCCCUUGAAGUUCCUGACCGCAAGGAGCGACCUAGGGCAAAACCGGUGACUGGGGGCUAACCGGAACAAGGUAUCCGUAG